CUGAUCUUCUGAGAGAGGCCAACACACCAGGCUCGUCGAGCAGCUCCCUCGGCACAUCCCUUGCCCACCACCUCCACCAGCCUGGAAGUGUUAAACAGCCAAUCACAGAGCGCAGUUUGUCGCAGAAGACUCACCUAGUCAACAGCAAGCAGGAGGGAGACAUAAUGCAUCCCAGUAAGACCAAGUCUGCAGUAAAAUGCUAACGCUUCAUUGGAUAACAACUUGUCACGUGGCCAGGUGCAGUUACAAAGGAAGCUGGGAAAUGAAGUCUAUAGAAGAAGUCAUCAUCGUAAGAAAGAAAAAGCCAUUGUGUCUGCCCCAGGAAGUCCUCAGUCGAAUCUCGUUUGUAAUAUUCACCAGCUCUAGGACUCAGGAAAAUCAGUUCUUUGAACUUCAGUUUUUCUCAUCUUAAAAUAAGAUUAUAUUCAUCCUAUGUAACUAUUGUAAUAUCAUAACUUUAUAACAUCUAAAACAAAGAACGAACUGUGUGCAUUUGUUUGUUUCCUGGGACAACAUCUCCUGCUGUAGCCCAGGCUAUCUCACUGAUUAGUUCAGGCUGGCCUGAGAUGUAAGGCAAUCCUUCUUAGCUUCUCAGGUACUGUGAUUACAGAAGGGAGGCACCAUGCCCAACUUCCAGCGUUUGAAAACGGUCCUCUAAGUUUUCAUACUUAUGUGUGAUUGAUUUUGAGUUAGUUUUUGUUUUUGUAGCAUUGUGGACACUGAGGACUUUAUUGCUUCUUGACUAAUUAAAAGCACAGCCACUAUAAUCUGCAGGCAGGUCUGUUUUUGCAAUGCAGCCACGUUUAAGCUUGCUUUAUCACCAUUAGGAAUUGGUCAUUUUAUGAAUGUAUAAUGUCCUUCAUUGAAUCUAGCAAUUUUCUUUGAUUUGAAUUCUAUCUUGAUUGAUACUAAUAAAGCUAUUUUAGCCUUCUUUUGA
rnacentral:lncRNA from 1 species